ensembl:snRNA U2 U2 spliceosomal RNA
ACCGCUUCUCAGCCUUUUGGCUAAGAUCAAGCAUAGUAUCUGUUCCUAUCAAUUUAAUAUCUGCUGUCUUUGUCCAAGGACAAUGUUAAAUGGACUUUCAGAGAAGGCACCUGGAAUAGGAGUUUGUUCCCUCCACUCCACACAUCAGUCUGGUACUGCAGCACUUCUAAGAACGGUACACCCCCU